rnacentral:sRNA from 1 species
AAUUAGCCCCGAUUGUAGUAGAAAUCCUUUUUUGAGCCGAUUUUUCUUCGGCUCAAAAAAGAUUGCAACGAAAAGCGGGAGAAAUG